GGUGGCUUAGGGGUAGAGUGCGUGCCUAGCAUGCAUGAAGACCUGGGUUCGAUUUCUCAGCACCA
rnacentral:tRNA from 1 species